rnacentral:piRNA from 1 species
UGGACACUCUUGAGGCAGUCGGAUG